CCUACGGGAGGCAGCAGUGAGGAAUAUUGGUCAAUGGGCGCAAGACUGAACCAGCCAAGUCGCGUGAGGGAAGACGGCACUACGGGUUGUAAACCUCUUUUGCCGGGGAGCAAGCCUGAGCACGUGUGCCCAGGCGGAGAGUACCCGGAGAAAAAGAAUCGGCUAACUCCGUGCCAGCAGCCGCGGUAAUACGGGGGAUGCGAGAGUUAUCCGGAUUUAUGGGGUUUAAAGGGUGCGCAGGCGGGCUGUUAGGCAGGCGGUAAAACUGCAGGGCUCAACCUUGACGAGCCGUCGAAACUGGCAGUCUCGAGUGGGCGAGAAGUAUGCGGAAUGCGCGGUGUAGCGGUGAAAUGCAUAGAUAUCGCGCAGAACGCCGAUUGCGAAGGCAGCAUGCCGGCGCCACACUGACGCUGAGGCACGAAAGCGUGGGGAUCGAACAGGAUUAGAUACCCUUGUAGUC
rnacentral:rRNA from 1 species